rnacentral:lncRNA from 1 species
CUUGAUUUUGAUAAGAAUUAUUUGACAAUUCAAGAUACGUUUAUAGCAUUUGUUUAUGUUACUGUUUUCUUUAGGUGACAUGUUUAUGGCCUAAUUAACACCUUUGAUGGUCUUUAAUCUGUUGAUCACUUUACCAUGGGUUAAUUAGUUUGUUUUAUCACUACGAUUUACACGGGUCAAUGUUUACUUUACAAUUUCCUUCAAGCCAGACUAUUUGUAACUUCGUUUCUAAAUGCUUCAAUUUUUCAAUAUUUUUUUUUUAGAAAACAAAAAUCCACGAAUUUAAAAACCCACGAACAUGUAAAUAUUGCUCAAACCACGAAAAUUGAUACCCUCGAAUUAAUGUACUUUCACAGUA